rnacentral:rRNA from 1 species
UAGGGAAUCUUCCGCAAUGGACGCAAGUCUGACGGAGCAACGCCGCGUGAGUGAAGAAGGAUUUCGGUUCGUAAAACUCUGUUGUUAGGGAAGAACAGCGCAUAGAGUAACUGUUAUGCGUGUGACGGUAUCUAACCAGAAAGCCACGGCUAACUACGUGCCAGCAGCCGCGGUAAUACGUAGGUGGCAAGCGUUGUCCGGAUUUAUUGGGCGUAAAGCGAGCGCAGGCGGUCAAUUAAGUCGGAUGUGAAAGCCCCCGGCUCAACCGGGGAGGGUCAUUGGAAACUGGUUGACUUGAGUGCAGAAGAGGAAAGUGGAAUUCCAUGUGUAGCGGUGAAAUGCGUAGAUAUAUGGAGGAACACCAGUGGCGAAAGCGACUCUCUGGUCUGUAACUGACGCUGAGGCUCGAAAGCGUGGGUAGCAAACAGG